AUUUNNAGACCGCUGGCGGCAGGCCUCAAACAUGCAAGUCUAGGGGGCUGUAGCAAUACGUCACCGGCGGACGGGUGCGUAACACGUGGGAAUAUACCUUUUGGUUCGGAACAACGCAGGGAAACUUGCGCUAAUACCGAAUGUGUCCUUACGGAGAAAGAUUUAUCGCCAAAGGAUUAGCCCGCGUUCGAUUAGCUAGUUGGUGAGGUAAUGGCUCACCAAGGCAACUGAUCGAUAGCUUGUUCUGAGAGGAAGAUCAGCCACACUGGGACUGAGACACUGGCCCAGACUCCUACGGGAGGCAGCAGUUGGGAAUCUUGGACAAUGGGGGAAACCCUGAUCCAGCCAUGCCGCGUGAGUGAUGAAGGCCUUCGGGUUGUAAAGCUCUUUUACCCGGGAAGAUAAUGACUGUACCGGGAGAAUAAGCUCCGGCUAACUUCGUGCCAGCAGCCGCGGUAAUACGAAGGGGGCUAGCGUUGUUCGGAAUUACUGGGCGUAAAGCGCGCGCAGGCGGUUUCUCAAGUCAGUGGUGAAAGCCCGGAGCUCAACUCCGGAACUGCCAUUGAAACUGUGAAACUUGAGGACAGAGAGGUGAGUGGAAUUCCCAGUGUAGAGGUGAAAUUCGUAGAUAUUGGGAAGAACACCGGUGGCGAAGCGGCUCACUGGCUCGUUUCUGACGCUCAGGCGCGACAGCGUGGGGAUCAAACAGGAUUAGAUACCCUGGUAGUCCACGCCGUAAACGAUGAACGCUAGCCGUUGGAUAGCUUGCUAUUCAGUGGCGCAGCUAACGCAUUAAGCGUUCCGCCUGGGGAGUACGGCCGCAAGGUUGGCUGUCGUCAGCUCGUGUCGUGAGAUGUUGGGUUAAGUCCCGCAACGAGCGCAACCCUCGCCUUUAGUUGCCAUCAUUCAGUUGGGCACUCUAGAGGGACCGCCGGCGACAAGCCGGAGGAAGGUGGGGAUGACGUCAAGUCCUCAUGGCCCUUACACCCUGGGCUACACACAGUGCUACAAUGGCGGUGACAGUGGGCAAGCUACUUCGCGAGGAGCGGCUAAUCCCAAAAAACCGUCCCAGUUCAGAUUGCACUCUGCAACUCGAGUGCAUGAAGGUGGAAUCGCUAGUAAUCGCAGAACAGCAGGCUGCGGUGAAUACGUUCCCGGGCCUUGUACACACCGCCCGUCACGGCAUGGGAGUUGGUUUUACCCGAAGACGGUGCGCUAACCCGCAAGGGAGGCAGCCGGCCACGGUAGGAUCAGCGACUGGCCG
rnacentral:rRNA from 1 species